rnacentral:rRNA from 1 species
GAGUGAACGCUGGCGGUAGGCCUAACACAUGCAAGUCGAACGGCAGCACAGGAGAGCUUGCUCUCUGGGUGGCGAGUGGCGGACGGGUGAGGAAUACAUCGGAAUCUGCCCAGUCGUGGGGGAUAACGUAGGGAAACUUACUCUAAUACCGCAUACGACCUUCGGGUGAAAGAGGGGGAUCGCAAGACCUCUCGCGAUUGGAUGAGCCGAUGUCGGAUUAGCUAGUUGGCGGGGUAAUGGCCCACCAAGGCGACGAUCCGUAGCUGGUCUGAGAGGAUGAUCAGCCACACUGGAACUGAGACACGGUCCAGACUCCUACGGGAGGCAGCAGUGGGGAAUAUUGGACAAUGGGCGCAAGCCUGAUCCAGCCAUACCGCGUGGGUGAAGAAGGCCUUCGGGUUGUAAAGCCCUUUUGUUGGGAAAGAAAUCUUUCAGGCUAAUACCCUGGGAGGAUGACGGUACCCAAAGAAUAAGCACCGGCUAACUUCGUG